GGCCCACCAGGGCACAUGAAACCGGCCAUGCCCCCAACCCUAGCCGCCACUACCUGCUCCCUCUCCCUAGCAGCCGACAGCUGCCAUCCAGCGCCACCAGGAAAGCCGCCCAGGCGCCCCGCCUCUGCAUCCGCCCGCCAGGAGCAGCGCCCCUGCAACCCGCUCUGAAGACUCGACGCCCAGAGCCGCGCGCAACCCCGUUCGCCGCCCCGCCCUCCGUCUCCCGUCGCCUCGCCCCUGCGCUCCGUCAGCUGCCCCUCCCCGAACCUUCUGCAAAUUCCUAUUGUUUCAAGCUGCAUAGAAGUCUGGGAUUUUCUGAGUGUGGAUUCACAGGUUAGUUUCCUUAUUUAACUCUUUAUCAUCUCAAUAUUUUCAAAACUGACGUUCAAUAAAUUGGGGAAUGUCUCUUUGCAGACAUAUAUUUUCACAGACACUCUCUCAGUUAUCCAAAUAUUGUCAGGUUUGUUGGCCCGAAUGGCUAGUUCUUUGUUUUUGCAUUGUUUAAUGCUGAAUUCCUAUUAUCCUGCAGUCAGUUUAGAUGGUCGGUCAGCCACCAGGGCCUCCCCGUCCGGCCGUCGUGCGUCCAACAGUCGGGCACCGGCGGGCGGCGGCCGCUCGCCCCUGCGGCUUGGGCGCUCGGCCACAGCCAGUGCGGGCCGUGCGGCAGUGUCCACUCGGGCCUCGGCCAGCUGCUAGCUAAUCCUAAUCAGUAAUUACUGUAAGCGUUUCUCAUUUUCUCAGUUUUUUUUGUCACUACUCACUGGUGAACAGCCUUUAGUGCCCAAGAACAGCCUUCAGUGCCCAAGCUCGUGUUGGAAACCAGCUGCGGCAUGAUGCUUUGGUGAUUUGGUUGCUUAAUAAUUAACUCAGUUCAUUGGAUAAUUUAUUGGUUUGUCUCUCCAUGUUCAGUUUGCACUUUGUGGACAAGAAGUUGUGAAUGCCUUCAGUGCUGCAGUGUUGGGCCUAUCUUCAGGUUGUGUUUCUUCUCAAGUCAACCAAGAGCAGCCUCAUGAUGGUUCCCCUCCUCUGAGAGAAGAUGACAAGAAUGGGCAUUAUGUUUUUGCUGUUGGAGAUAAUCUCACAUCUCGUUAUAAGAUCAAUGCAAAAAUGGGAGAAGUCUACAGGAAUCAGUGGUCUUCUCCGCUACGCUCCUGAAAUAUUUGAGCAGUCUGGAGUGGCUAGUUUGUUUUCAGACAUUGGACUUUCUCCUCAUUCAACAUCAAUUCUCAUGAGUACCCUUAAUGCUUUGCUGAUACUCCCUUGUAUAACUGCCGCAAUGCUGCUGAUGGAUGUCUGCGGGAGAAGGUAGAAUCUGAGACACCAUGAAAAUUAGUGAUGCAGUUGUGGACUUUUGAACAAUAGCUGGAGUGAUAUGAAACAUUAGUGAUGUAGUUGUGGGCUUUUGAA